rnacentral:rRNA from 1 species
UGGGGAAUAUUGGACAAUGGGCGAAAGCCUGAUCCAGCCAUGCCGCGUGUGUGAAGAAGGUCUUCGGAUUGUAAAGCACUUUAAGUUGGGAGGAAGGGCAGUAAGCGAAUACCUUGCUGUUUUGACGUUACCGACAGAAUAAGCACCGGCUAACUCUGUGCCAGCAGCCGCGGUAAUACAGAGGGUGCAAGCGUUAAUCGGAAUUACUGGGCGUAAAGCGCGCGUAGGUGGUUCGUUAAGUUGAAUGUGAAAGCCCCGGGCUCAACCUGGGAACUGCAUCCGAAACUGGCGAGCUAGAGUAGGGCAGAGGGUGGUGGAAUUUCCUGUGUAGCGGUGAAAUGCGUAGAUAUAGGAAGGAACACCAGUGGCGAAGGCGACCACCUGGGCUCAUACUGACACUGAGGUGCGAAAGCGUGGGGAGCAAACAG